AUCCUUUUGUAGUUGAUAAGCAUGAUGAUAGGGUUUUCAUAUAAUUGUAAGAGAUGUGCCACCCAUAAACCUUGUCAGCACUUGACCAGUCUGAUG
rnacentral:snoRNA from 1 species